GUUUAAAAGAUGGUUCUGCUAUCACUCUUGGAUGGACCCUGCGGUGCAUUUAGCUAGUUGGUAGGGUAACGGCCUACCAAGGCGAUGAUGCAUAGCCGAGUUGAGAGACUGAUCGGCCACAUUGGGACUGAGACACGGCCCAAACUCCUACGGGAGGCAGCAGUAGGGAAUCUUCCACAAUGGACGCAAGUCUGAUGGAGCAACGCCGCGUGAGUGAAGAAGGGUUUCGGCUCGUAAAGCUCUGUUGUUGGUGAAGAAGGACAGGGGUAGUAACUGACCUUUGUUUAACGGUAAUCAAUUAGAAAGUCACGGCUAACUACGUGCCCAGCAGCCGCGGGUAAU
rnacentral:rRNA from 1 species